rnacentral:lncRNA from 1 species
CAAGUACCAUUUGCAUCUAAUGCAUUCAUCUCUUCUAUCAUGGCGUGGCGCCAACCAGAGUGAGAUAAAGCUUCAUGCACUAUUUUGGGAAUAAUGAUGGAAUCAAUAGAGGCAAUUAAAGAAUAGGAAGAAGGUGACAAAUGAUCAUAAGAUACAAAGGAAGAAAUGGGGUAAGUGCACUGACGCUUACCUUUCUGAAUGGCAAUAGG